GAGUAAUGUAUGGGGAUCUGCCCGAUAGAGGGGGAGUAACUACUGGAAACGGUGGCUAAUACCGCAUAAUGUCUACGGACCAAAGCAGGGGCUCUUCGGACCUUGCACUAUCGGAUGAACCCAUAUGGGAUUAGCUAGUAGGUGGGGUAAAGGCUCACCUAGGCGACGAUCUCUAGCUGGUCUGAGAGGAUGAUCAGCCACACUGGGACUGAGACACGGCCCAGACUCCUACGGGAGGCAGCAUG
rnacentral:rRNA from 1 species